rnacentral:rRNA from 1 species
GACGAACGCUGGCGGCGUGCUUAACACAUGCAAGUCGAACGGAAAGGCCCUGCUUUUGUGGGGUGCUCGAGUGGCGAACGGGUGAGUAACACGUGAGUAACCUGCCCUUGACUUUGGGAUAACUUCAGGAAACUGGGGCUAAUACCGGAUAGGAGCUCCUGCUGCAUGGUGGGGGUUGGAAAGUUUCGGCGGUUGGGGAUGGACUCGCGGCUUAUCAGCUUGUUGGUGGGGUAGUGGCUUACCAAGGCUUUGACGGGUAGCCGGCCUGAGAGGGUGACCGGGGACAGUGCGACUGAGAUACGGCCCAGACUCCUACGGGAGGCAGCGGUGGAGAAUAUUACACAGUGGGCGGAAGCCUGAUGCGACGACGCCGCGUGCGGGAUAACGGGCUUCGGGUUGUAAACCGCUUUCGCCUGUGACGAGGCGUGAGUGACGGUAAUGGGUAAAGAAGCACCGGCUAACUACGUG